CAUAAAAUCAAUUUUACUGUGUCAGCUUCAAAAACAAAAUGAAGAUUGGCUGGGCCGCAUUGGGAUUGGGAGUCCCUUCCAACCCCUUCCUAUUCUUCCGGAAGGGCCCAGACCGCCCAUCUUAGCAUAAACUGCAGAGCAUCUGCUCCCCAUAGCAGAAACUACAGUGACAAUUCUGGACUUGCUGUCCCCGAGGUCAAGUAAGGGUCUGUACAGUCUCCCUGAAGAAGAUGGGGGAAGGCCCCUGGACACUGGGCUCUCUCUGGCACAUUUGCAGUCCAAUCAGGUAGGGACAAGAUCCCUGGGGAGGGGCCGUAGCAUACUGAGGGUCAUCAAGACACUCUGCUACUCAGGUAUAAUUAUUCGCCCUCUGUGGGCAGCCAUUGAGCCAUUCUGCCUAUACACUAUUAUUUUGUGGAGUUGCAGUCAGGUCUGGACACAGCUCUGUAGACCCUGAGGCUCUAUAUUAAAAAAAAAUAAAACUCUAUCAUCUCCAUGUAUAUAAGCAAUUGUCCAGUCUCGUUCUCCUGGGCAGAGAGCUCACGCACCUAGGUUCUGUUUCAUAGCAACACUGGACAGACCGGUUGGUUUCUGAACACCUCUGCCUCCUCACCUAGCCUGGGUCAAAUGCUUACAGAGGUAUGGCUCAGACAAAAGGGCAUGCUAAAUAAUAGAUGGGUGUGUGUGUGUGUCUUGGCAGACUGUGGAUGGAAGGUCCUCAGGGUCGAAGCUGAUGAAGUCAUCGGGCGAUCAUAGGCUGGAGAGAAAGGGCGUAAUCUGGUGUAUGCAGUCCUUUGUCACACAGUCUCUUCCAUUAGCUGUCUCUGCACAUGUUUCUCCUGCCAGGUAUCUGUGCUUUAUUUCAUGGAGCUCAGACGGUAUGGGGUCUUGAACUUAAGAGUGCUCCAUACAUCGGACAGCGUUCCAGAACACACAACGAAGAAUGGCCUUCCUGGUCUACAAACGCGCGCGCAUGCGCACGCAAGCACAUACGCACCAGACGAGAGAGAAGCUGCUUUUCAGGACCACAGACUCAGCCUCUGUAGCCUGCUUCCCUUUCCCUAAGAGCUUAAUGGCUUUUAGGUAAUGGAGCUACUGAGUGGACCACAGGUACUUCAGUGGUGUUUCAGAGACAAGAGAAGAUAACACACAGCUGGCCCACCAGGUUACCUGCCAUCCCCUAACAUUGGUAAGGCGCUCCGGGAAAACACUUGUAAAAUUACCUAUGCCAAAAUUCUGACAAAGGCACCCUCUGCCCACCUCAGUCUUUAAGGGGGCUCGUAGUAAUACUGGGAGACCAGUCUCAUGCUACUGCUGACAUCUUGUAAACCAAAAUGGGUGGGUGAGCUGAGAUGGGCAGAAACAGCUCAGUUUGAAAACUGGUCCGGAAGUUCGUGUACUGGAUUAGAUAUGCACAGA